AUUGAACGCUGGCGGCAGGCCUAACACAUGCAAGUCGAACGGUAGCACAGAGAGCUUGCUCUCGGGUGACGAGUGGCGGACGGGUGAGUAAUGUCUGGGAAACUGCCCGAUGGAGGGGGAUAACUACUGGAAACGGUAGCUAAUACCGCAUAACGUCGCAAGACCAAAGUGGGGGACCUUCGGACCUCACACCAUCGGAUGUGCCCAGAUGGGAUUAGCUAGUAGGUGGGGUAAUGGCUCACCUAGGCGACGAUCCCUAGCUGGUCUGAGAGGAUGACCAGCCACACUGGAACGGAGACACGGUCCAGACUCCUACGGGAGGCAGCAGUGGGGAAUAUUGCACAAUGGGCGCAAGCCUGAUGCAGCCAUGCCGCGUGUAUGAAGAAGGCCUUCGGGUUGUAAAGUACUUUCAGCGGGGAGGAAGGCGGUGAAGUUAAUAACUUCACCGAUUGACGUUACCCGCAGAAGAAGCACCGGCUAACUCCGUGCCAGCAGCCGCCGUAA
rnacentral:rRNA from 1 species